rnacentral:sRNA from 1 species
CAUCGUUGAAAUUGUAUGGAAUUACGAUCCAGCAAUACAUCGGCACUCAAAGCCGUCAGUGUUGUAUUCCAAACAUCAAAGGUGAUGACACAAGAUACUAGAAAAGAAAACAAAGCAAUUUUGUGUCAAAUUUAAGGAAGGGUGACUAUCAGCAUAGAUUAUAUGUCUUAAAACAAAGUUAAAUGCGUGCAUCAAACCAUUUCACUGUCCCAAGUUUUAUGCAAGAACUUAAGCCAAGUUAAAAACGAUGUGCCUUACUAGGAAAAGGAGUGCAAUGUUGGUCAUCCUUUCAUUUCAUUUAUUAACCGAAUAUGUAAUAUAAAACCAAUAAGGCCCAUAAAAUAAUUACAUACAAACUUUUCAGUAUCCUGAGUAUAACAGAUAAUUAAGUUCAUUUCUUAACAUAAUGAGGUACUUUAUUAUAUUUACCUAA